rnacentral:rRNA from 1 species
GACGGAGGGUGCUAGCGUUGUUCGGAAUCACUGGGCGUAAAGGGCGCGCAGGCGGCCUCCUCAGUCGGACGUGAAAGCCCGGGGCUCAACCCCGGAACGGCGUCCGAGACGGGGGGGCUGGAGACCGGGAGAGGAGGGUGGAAUAGCCAGUGUAGAGGUGAAAUUCGUAGAUAUUGGCUGGAACACCGGUGGCGAAAGCGGCUCUCUGGCCCGGGUCUGACGCUGAGGCGCGAAAGCGUGGGGAGCAAACAGG